CCUAGGGGUGGCAGCAGUGGGGAAUAUUGGACAAUGGGCGAAAGCCUGAUCCAGCCAUGCCGCGUGUGUGAAGAAGGCCUUCGGGUUGUAAAGCACUUUCAGUGGGGAAGAAAGCCUUGGGGCUAAUACCCUCGAGGAAGGACAUCACCCACAGAAGAAGCACCGGCUAACUCCGUGCCAGCAGCCGCGGUAAUACGGAGGGUGCGAGCGUUAAUCGGAAUUACUGGGCGUAAAGCGCGCGUAGGCGGUCUGAUAAGCCGGUUGUGAAAGCCCCGGGCUCAACCUGGGAACGGCAUCCGGAACUGUCAGGCUAGAGUGCAGGAGAGGAAGGUAGAAUUCCCGGUGUAGCGGUGAAAUGCGUAGAGAUCGGGAGGAAUACCAGUGGCGAAGGCGGCCUUCUGGACUGACACUGACGCUGAGGUGCGAAAGCGUGGGUAGCAAACAGGAUUAGAUACCCCGGUAGUC
rnacentral:rRNA from 1 species